rnacentral:lncRNA from 1 species
AGACAGAUUGUCUACGCUUUACUUCCUUUCUUUGUUCUCGUUCCUAUCUUCAUCAAUGUUUAUUGGUUUGUUGCUUGUACGGUCAACCCCACUUGCAGUAAUGACUUCCCGAUGGUGUAUAGGAUUUUAGUUCUCAUCUUCAUAUUCUUGGUGAUUGGGGUAAUUGUGUGGAUUUUCAUCGUUAAUUGGCAUCGAAUUGAGCUUACGAUUCAAAUAAUUGGGGUUGCUUCGGAUGCAUUGUCGAUGAAUCUGGGUUUGUUUGUGGCUAUACCGAGUAUGACACUGGGGCUUUUGAUUUAUUAUGCGCCAAUCGUUCUGUUCUUGGUGUUUGCAAGGAUGAAUGGGAAAAUUUUACCCCAUCACCAUGUAUCAAGUGGAGAGUACAGUUGUGUUUGGAAGGAAGAUAAAUGGGUACCUGCUUACUAUGCUUUGGCGAUUCUUACAAUGUUGUGGUCUGGUGCUGUAAUGGUGGAAGGAC